AACGAACGCUGGCGGCAGGCCUAAAACAUGCAAGUCGAACGAUCUAGCAAUAGAUAGUGGCGCACGGGUGAGUAACACGUGGGAAUAUCCCUUUCACUACGGAACAACGUCGGGAAACUGACGCUAAUACCGUAUAAUGUCUCCGGACCAAAGAUUUAUCGGUGAAAGAUUAGGCCGCGUCUGAUUAGCUAGUUGGUGAGGUAACGGCGCACCAAGGCAACGAUCAGUAGCUGGUCUGAGAGGAUGAUCAGCCACACUGGAACUGAGACACGGUCGGGAGGCGUAGGGGGGGCAGUAGUUAGGAAUAUUGAACAAUGGGGGCAAACCUGAUCCCGCCAUGCCGCGUGUGUGACGAAGGCCUUAGGGUUGUAAAGCACUUUCGUCUACGAAGAUAAUGACAGUAGUAGAAGAAGAAGCUCCGGCUAAAUUCGUGCCAGCCGCCGCCGUAA
rnacentral:rRNA from 1 species